GACGAACGCUGGCGGCGUGCUUAACACAUGCAAGUCGAACGAUGAAGCCCAGCUUGCUGGGUGGAUUAGUGGCGAACGGGUGAGUAACACGUGGGUGAUCUGCCCUGCACUUCGGGAUAAGCCUGGGAAACUGGGUCUAAUACCGGAUAGGACCUUCUGCCGCAUGGUGGGGGGUGGAAAGGUUUUCCGGUGCAGGAUGGGCCCGCGGCCUAUCAGCUUGGUGGUGGGGUAACGGCCCACCAAGGCGACGACGGGUAGCCGGCCUGAGAGGGCGACCGGCCACACUGGGACUGAGACACGGCCCAGACUCCUACGGGAGGCAGAAGUGGGGAAUAUUGCACAAUGGGCGCAAGCCUGAUGCAGCGACGCCGCGUGAGGGAUGACGGCCUUCGGGUUGUAAACCUCUUUCAGUACCGACGAAGCGCAAGUGACGGUAGGUACAGAAGAAGCACCGGCCAACUACGUGCCAGCCGCCGCGGUAAAAC
rnacentral:rRNA from 1 species